rnacentral:snRNA from 1 species
AUCGCUUCUUGGCCUUUUGGCUAAGAUCAAGUGUAGAAUAGGCAAAAGUGCAGAUAAAAUAUAAAUACUAGAUUUUUUUUUAAUUUAAAAGGGCUCAUUUUGUAGUGGCUAAACCAAGUUAAACAUCU